rnacentral:rRNA from 1 species
CAGUCGCCGCGGGAAUACAGAGGGUGCGAGCGUUAAUCGGAUUUACUGGGCGUAAAGCGUGCGUAGGCGGCUUUUUAAGUCGGAUAUGAAAUCCCUGAGCUUAACUUAGGAAUUGCAUUCGAUACUGGGAAGCUAGAGUAUGGGAGAGGAUGGUAGAAUUCCAGGUGUAGCGGUGAAAUGCGUAGAGAUCUGGAGGAAUACCGAUGGCGAAGGCAGCCAUCUGGCCUAAUACUGACGCUGAGGUACGAAAGCAUGGGGAGCAAACAGGAUUAGAUACCCCCGUAGUCCCUGUCUCUUAUAC